UAGCACAUUAUUUAAUGUAUCUUUACUUAUAAUAUACGUGUAACAAAACGUAAGUCUCGUUCGUAAGUAGUCUCGCGCAUAAUUUGAAACCGGAGCAACAAGGUUCGACUUUGCUAAUAUCGUCUUGUACUCGUACAUUAUUAUAAAAUUAUUUUUUGAUGAAUCAGGAAAAAAGGAAACGUUCUGAGAAUUGGAGUACUGAGGAAAAAGUAAGAACUUUAACGUAAAUUACUUCAAACUUGAAAUCAGUCCUUAAAUAAAUUAUGUACCUAAUUCUAAUAUAAAAUUUAUAGGAUAUACUACGUGAGAUGAUUGGGCAGUCACGCCACAUAAUAGAAAAUCGGUGUACAAAUGCUUCCCCCAAGAAUAAAAAAACUCAAGAGUGGAAAGAUAUAACAAUGAUAUUAAAUGAACUGACGGGAAAGUGUAGGUCAGACGGUGAUGUCAAAUUAGCGUGGAAGAGGAUGAAGCUCACAGCUAAAGCCAACUUGUCCAGUCAUUGGCAAGAUUUAGCAAAGACGGCGGGGUGGAAAUAAGCCUAAGUCGCCUUCACAGGAAGAUCUGGCAACAAUGAAUAUUGUUCCAUGCGAUUUUAUUCUCGAAUAAAAUCAUUUUGAAAGUGAUGCUAUGAGACCUGUGAUAAUAAUAAUAAUGUUUUUUUAUAUUCAAAAAAUAAAACAUUAUUUAUUAAUAAAAUGUAUAUUUAACCAUCAAUACUUGUAGGUUGAGUUGAUUGUUUUGGGCCAAAAAAGAUUGAAAUGGAAGCGGGGCCAAGUACAGCUGUACCACCGGUAGAAUUUGAAGAAAAUAAUGAGGUAUAAGUUGAAAAGGACCAAGGUACUUCAAAUAGUGUAAAUGUGGGAACUGCUACAAAAAAAAGUUUUAUGUAGAAAAAGUGAUCCAAAAAACAAAAAAAAUAAAAUGGCAGAAGAAAUAUUGCGAACCAACAGUGCAUUUAAAGAGAAGCAGUUGGAGAUGUUAGAAGUGGAGCAUCAAUAUAAAAUUGAAACAUAUAAAUUAAAAAUUAAAACUUGAAAUUGAUUUACUAGAAAAUAGUAAGAAGUCCAGUGCUCAGUAAUUAUUAAUUGUAAGUGAAUUUUAAACAUAAAAAAAUCAUUUAUAAUAUAUAAUUUUGUCAUUAUAUUUAUGAUUAUAUGUAAUUUUGAAUUUCAGGUUCUGCUGAGCAGUUAAAACUGUUAUUUAUAUAAAAAUAAAUUAUAAAAAAGAGAAUUUUAUUACAAAAUGUGGAAAUUUUUAAUGAUUAAAGAUAUAUAAAUAAAUAAUUUAAAUUAAAAAUGUCUUUCUAUGAAUUGCCGCCUCCUUAUAUUUCCACGUAAAUUGUUUUCAAUUGGUUGAACUAACGGUUCAGAGGUUUGUGAGUUAAA